rnacentral:rRNA from 1 species
ACUCCACGGGAGGCAGCAGUGGGGAAUUUUGGACAAUGGGCGAAAGCCUGAUCCAGCAAUGCCGCGUGAGUGAAGAAGGCCUUCGGGUUGUAAAGCUCUUUUGUCAGGGAAGAAACGGUGAAAGCUAAUAUCUUUUGCUAAUGACGGUACCUGAAGAAUAAGCACCGGCUAACUACGUGCCAGCAGCCGCGGUAAUACGUAGGGUGCAAGCGUUAAUCGGAAUUACUGGGCGUAAAGCGUGCGCAGGCGGUUUUGUAAGUCUGAUGUGAAAUCCCCGGGCUCAACCUGGGAAUUGCAUUGGAGACUGCAAGGCUAGAAUCUGGCAGAGGGGGGUAGAAUUCCACGUGUAGCAGUGAAAUGCGUAGAUAUGUGGAGGAACACCGAUGGCGAAGGCAGCCCCCUGGGUCAAGAUUGACGCUCAUGCACGAAAGCGUGGGGAGCAAACAGGAUUAGAUACCCGGGUAGUCCCAU